rnacentral:rRNA from 1 species
GACGGAGGAUGCAAGCGUUAUCCGGAAUUAUUGGGCGUAAAGCGUCCGUAGGCGGUUUCAAAAGUCUGUUGUUAAAGCCCACAGCUCAACUGUGGAUCGGCAAUGGAAACUGUGAGACUAGAGAGUGGUAGGGGUAGAGGGAAUUCCUAGUGUAGCGGUGAAAUGCGUAGAGAUCGGGAGGAACAUCUGUGGCGAAGGCGGCCAUCUGGACCAGCACUGACACUGAGGCACGAAAGCGUGGGGAGCAAACAGG